rnacentral:rRNA from 1 species
UACGUAGGGCGCAAGCGUUAUCCGGAAUUACUGGGCGUAAAGCGCACGCAGGCGGUCUUGUAAGUUUGACGUGAAAGCUCCCGGCUUAACUGGGAGAGGUCGUUGAAGACUGCAAGACUUGAGGGAAAUGAGAGGGGUGUAGAAUUCCCGGUGUAGUGGUGGAAUGCGUAGAGUAUCGGGGGGAAUACCAGUGGCGAAAGCGGCACCCUAGCAUUUUUCUGACGCUCAUGUGCGAAAGCGUGGGGAGCGAACACGGG